UACGAAGGGGGCUAGCGUUGUUCGGAAUCACUGGGCGUAAAGCGCACGUAGGCGGAUGUGUCAGUCAGGGGUGAAAUCCCGGAGCUCAACUUCGGAACUGCCUCUGAUACAGCACGUCUUGAGUCCGGAAGAGGUGGGUGGAAUUCCUAGUGUAGAGGUGAAAUUCGUAGAUAUUAGGAAGAACACCGGUGGCGAAGGCGGCCCACUGGUCCGGUACUGACGCUGAGGUGCGAAAGCGUGGGGAGCAAGCAGG
rnacentral:rRNA from 1 species